GACAGAGGGGGCAAGCGUUGCUCGGAAUUACUGGGCGUAAAGGGCGCGUAGGCGGGCUGUCAAGUUUGGGGUGAAAUGCCACGGCUCAACCGUGGAACUGCCUCAAAUACUGACGGUCUCGAGGGAGGUAGGGGCGAGCGGAACUAAUGGUGGAGCGGUGAAAUGCGUUGAUAUCAUUAGGAACUCCGGUGGCGAAGGCGGCUCGCUGGACCUUUUCUGACGCUGAGGCGCGAAAGCUAGGGGAGCAAACGGGG
rnacentral:rRNA from 1 species